rnacentral:rRNA from 1 species
AUCGAACGCUGGCGGCAGGCCUAACACAUGCAAGUCGAGCGAGCGGCGGACGGGUGAGUAAUGAAUGGGGACUGCCCGAUAGAGGGGGAUAACUACUGGAAAUGGUGGCUAAUACCGCAUACUAUCGGAUAACCCAUAUGGGAUUAGCUAGUAGGUGGGGUAAAGGCACGCCUAGGCGACGAUCUCUAGCUGGUCUGAGAGGAUGAUCAUCCCCACGGGCACUGAGACACGGCCCUGGCUCCUGCGUAGGCAGCAGUGGGGAAUAUUGCACAAUGGGCGCAAGCCUGGUGCAGCCCUGCCGCGUGUAUGACGAAGUCCUUAGGGGUGUAAAGUACUUUCAGCGGGGAGGCGUUACCCGCAGAAGAAGCACCGGCUAACUCCGUGCCAGCAGCCGCGGUAAUUC